CCCCCCCCCCCCCCCCCCCCCCCCCCCCCCCCCCCCCCCCCCCCCCCCCCCCCCCCCCCCCCCCCCCCCCCCCCCCCCCCCCCCCCCCGCCGCUCGCGGUGGCGGCGCCCCGCCACGGACGGGCCCCUCACGGGAGUCCUUAACCCCGGGCCCCCCAGGCUCCCCAGGCCGGCCUCCUGCCCCGCGCCCCCUCACGCCCGCAGCCGCUCUGCAGGAGGCGUCUGACACGGGCGCCAAAAAUCAUAGAAAAUCAAAAAUGAGGGCGAGGGCUAGACAGCAAAGGAUCAAGCAUGGCAAUUUAUCAUCUAAAAGCAUGGAGAUACACCAUCUGAAACUGCAAGGGCAGUUUUCUUAGUGUCCUGGUUUGAAGGGCAGGUAUCUGCCAAUAAAGGCAGAAGUUUUCCUUUGAAAUAGAGACCUUAAUUCCAC
rnacentral:lncRNA from 12 species